rnacentral:rRNA from 1 species
GACGAACGCUGGCGGCGUGCUUAACACAUGCAAGUCGAGCGGAAAGGCCACUUCGGUGGUACUCGAGCGGCGAACGGGGGAGUAACACGUGAGUAAUCUGCCCCCGGCUUUGGGAUAGCCACCGGAAACGGUGAUUAAUACCGGAUACGGCCACUUCUCGCAUGGGAUGGUGGUGGAAAGUUUCUUCGGCCAGGGAUGUGCUCGCGGCCUAUCAGCUUGAUGGUGGGGUAAUGGCUCACCAUGGCUUCGACGGGUAGCCGGCCUGAGAGGGUGACCGGUCACACUGGGACUGAGACACGGCCCAGACUCCUACGGGAGGCAGCAGUGGGGAAUAUUGGACAAUGGGCGGAAGCCUGAUCCAGCAACGCCGCGUGAGGGAUGACGGCCUUCGGGUUGUAAACCUCUUUCAGCAGGGACGAAGCGCAAGUGACGGUACCUGCAGAAGAAGCACCGGCCAACUACGUGCCAGCCGCCGCCGUAA